rnacentral:rRNA from 1 species
CUACGGGAGGCUCCAGUGGGGAAUAUUGCACAAUGGGCGAAAGCCUGAUGCAGCAAUGCCGCGUGUGUGAAGAAGGCCUGCGGGUUGUAAAGCACUUUCAGCUGGGAAGAUUAUGACGGUACCAGCAGAAGAAGCACCGGCUAACUCCGUGCCAGCAGCCGCGGUAAUACGGAGGGUGCAAGCGUUAAUCGGAAUUACUGGGCGUAAAGCGCGCGUAGGCGGCUAGAUCAGUCGGGUGUGAAAGCCCCGGGCUUAACCUGGGAACUGCAUCCGAUACUGUCUAGCUUGAGUACAGGAGAGGAGAGUGGAAUUCCACAUGUAGCGGUGAAAUGCGUAGAUAUGUGGAGGAACACCAAUGGCGAAGGCAGCUCUCUGGCCUGAUACUGACGCUGAGGCGCGAAAGCGUGGGGAGCAAACAGGAUUAGAUACCCCCGUAGUC